UACGGAGGAUGCAAGCGUUUAUCCCGGAAUGAUUGGGGCGUAAAGCGUCCGCAGGUGGCUAUGUAAGUCUGCUGUUAAAGAGUCUAGCUCAACUAGAUAAGAGCAGUGGAAACUACAUGGCUAGAGUGCGUUCGGGGCAGAGGGAAGUUCCUGGUGUAGCGGUGAAAUGCGUAGAGAUCAGGAAGAACACCGGUGGCGAAGGCGCUCUGCUAGGCCGCAACUGACACUGAGGGACGAAAGCUAGGGGAGCGAAUGGGA
rnacentral:rRNA from 1 species